rnacentral:rRNA from 1 species
CCUACGGGAGGCAGCAGUGAGGAAUAUUGGUCAAUGGCCGGAAGGCUGAACCAGCCAUGCCGCGUGAAGGUCAGUGCCCUAUGGGCGUUAAACUUCUUUUGUGCGGGAGCAAUAAUGGUCACGUGUGGCCAGACGAGAGUACCGUACGAAUAAGCAUCGGCUAACUCCGUGCCAGCAGCCGCGGUAAUAAGGGGGAUGCAAGCGUUAUCCGGAUUUAUUGGGGUUAAAGGGUGAGUAGGCUGUGAGGUAAGUCAGCGGUGAAAUGCCCCCGCUCAACGGGGUGAAGUGCCAUUGAUACUGCCUUGCUGGAAUGCGGAUGCCGUGGGAGGAAUGUGUGGUGUAGCGGUGAAAUGCAUAGAUAUCACACAGAACACCGAUUGCGAAGGCAUCUCACGAAUCCGCGAUUGACGCUGAUGCACGAAAGCGUGGGUAUCAAACAGGAUUAGAUACCCCAGUAGUC